rnacentral:rRNA from 1 species
UACGUAGGGGGCGAGCGUUGCCCGGAAUUACUGGGCGUAAAGGGCGCGCAGGCGGCCGUGUAAGUCCGCUGUGAAAGACCGGGGCUCAACCCCGGGGUGUCAGCGGGGACUGCACGGCUGGAGUCCCGGAGGGGGAGGCGGAAUACCUGGUGUAGCGGUGGAAUGCGUAGAGAUCAGGUGGAACACCGAUGGCGAAGGCAGCCUCCUGGACGGGUACUGACGCUGAGGCGCGAAAGCGUGGGGAGCGAACGGG